ensembl:lncRNA
UGUCCUCUCCGUUCGAUCCGAACUCACACGCAGCAUGUCUCGCAGCGAUAUAGCCCCAGUCAUGCAGAGGCAAACCGAAAGCGAUGAGAUCCAGCAGUGACGGAAGUUUAAUUCCAAUGGACUAUGAGCGUUUCAAUGUCUUAAAGACGAGGAAAGCAUUCGAGUCAAUAAAACAACUGACCACCAAACUGAUUCACGUGGACAAUCAAUAGGAUAGCAUGCAUUUCCAUCUGUCCAUCUCGAAACGAGUUUGUAGUGACGGCUUCGGUCUGCAUGCGAAUAUGGCUCAAAAAUGACCAAUGCAUCGUCUUGGUACUUCUGUUUUGAUGCUUAUUAUACUACCUCUUGCGUGUUCCUGUGAAAGUGGCCACAAUAAAAACCAGAUCACCGAGGAUUACCGCAAUAUCAUUAGGAUACAGCUGAAGCACGUUGAGGCCAUUAUUGAACAACUAAAUUCAAACUGCACAAUAAGAAAUGUCAUCAUGUCGAAGGAGCCAAAAAAUGCACAACAGUCCAUCCACAGAAAAAUCUGCAGGGUUAACGGAAAACUGGGGAGAAUCGGGAGGGAAUCAGAGAAUGUAGAUGGACAACUAAAAGAUGUUUUAAAAAAACUUGUGGAAGAAAUAAAUGAGUCCUUGAGAUGUUGGUGCCACCUGAAGAGGGAGGGGACAAAAAAGCCAAAACAGCAAAUACGAAAGUGGAAGAUUUGCAGAGUGAAAGACAUUCUUGCCAACUUACAGACACAAUUUGAGCAAUACAAUGCGUAUCUGUCCCUCAGCACAGACCUUCCAGAGCGUGGGAAGACUUCAGAGCAAACCGGUAUAUAAUGCUUGGCCUCCAUUCAUCUCUAUUACAACAAACGAAUGUACAGAAUAUGAAGUAACUGGACUAACCAUGUGCCUUUCACACUAUUCAGUAUUUGUCUGAAGACAAACAAUGCUUUUUAUGGGAAAUAUAUGCUAAGCAUAAACAUGAAAUAUACUACUAUGCAUGAAAAUGUUUCAAAACUUUGUACUUUGUAUUGUUACCUUUGCUAUUGAUUGCUGAACGAGUACGGAGGGUGCGCAAAUGAAACUUACAGAGUUCAACUGUACAUUGCUGUAAGUGACACAAAGUUGGCUUCAAAGUCUAUAUUAUAUUAAUUAUCUAGGCCUCAAGUUAGAACUUUAUGGUCUACACAUGCUUCUUAUUUGGGGAAGCGACCCUAUUCAGCCCACCCAAUUCCAAGUCUUGUACGUUUUUUCAAUUCAUUCGAAGAAAGCCGAAGAUUGAAACACUUGUUUUUUCAAACAAAAUUGAAUUGCUUUAUUUAAUUGCAAACCUCUGGAAUGGGCAUAUAAGUACACAUAUAUAAUUUCAGCACCUAUUUAACAAUAACCAAACAACUUUUUAUAUGGCUGUUUCUUUAGAAACCCUGUUUUUAAGAAAGUCAGCAGAAUUCUCUUUUCUUUGGUUGAUCAUCUAUCAGGACCCACUUUUUCACUGUUAAGUUUCAGGUUUGUCUUUUCAACUCCAUUUUUGUUGUUGUUGUUUUGACAAAGCAGCACAUUUGUGAACCUUCCCUUAUUUUUAGGCCAGUAUUUCCAGUUCGUGGAGGCAUAACAACUGUAGCAAUUUUUGGGCCCAAUAUAAAACUUUCAAUACGGGUCCCCCAGUAAUCUGGAUCACAUUCCGUCCCCCUUUUGCAGUAGCAAGUCUUGCCUUUUUAUUUAAUUUUUUUUUUACCCAGCAUACAAUGACAAAUAUUGUAAGUAGAUAAAGUUAAUGAACUGGAUGUGCUCCAAACGCAGUGAAUUUAGUUAAUGCUUUUUAUAUGUGGUUCCUAGUUUUGUGGGUUAUCAAUAGAACCAUUCCUUAUAAAGCCUCUUGAAAAGAAUCAUAUUUAUGUAUUAUAAUAACAGACAAAACAUUAAACUUUGUCUUUGACACAAAUGGUUCCAUUUAAUGUGGUUGUCCAGUUUUUACUGUUUUUCUUUCAACCACAUCUAUCUUUGUGAGCAAAACUCCACACUAACUACAGAGGCUCAAGACUUUUCAGACACAGAAUAAACAAGCUGUCUAUCAUUCUUAUAUUUAAAAAAAUAAUAAACAGGUGGGCUUAUAUGGUACAUGAGCUUUAUAGGGUCUCUUCUCCUGUAUAAAGACGCAC